GAAGCUUGCUUCUCUUGAGAGCGGCGGACGGGUGAGUAAUGCCUAGGAAUCUGCCUAGUGGUGGGGGAUAACGUUCGGAAACGGACGCUAAUACCGCAUACGUCCUACGGGAGAAAGCGGGGGACCUUCGGGCCUCGCGCCAUUAGAUGAGCCUAGGUCGGAUUAGCUAGUUGGUGAGGUAACGGCUCACCAAGGCGACGAUCCGUAACUGGUCUGAGAGGAUGAUCAGUCACACUGGAACUGAGACACGGUCCAGACUCCUACGGGAGGCAGCAGUGGGGAAUAUUGGACAAUGGGCGAAAGCCUGAUCCAGCCAUGCCGCGUGUGUGAAGAAGGUCUUCGGAUUGUAAAGCACUUUAAGUUGGGAGGAAGGGCAGUAAGCGAAUACCUUGCUGUUUUGACGUUACCGACAGAAUAAGCACCGGCUAACUCUGUGCCAGCAGCCGCGGUAAUACAGAGGGUGCAAGCGUUAAUCGGAAUUACUGGGCGUAAAGCGCGCGUAGGUGGUUGGUUAAGUUGGAUGUGAAAGCCCCGGGCUCAACCUGGGAACUGCAUCCAAAACUGGCCGACUAGAGUACAGUAGAGGGUGGUGGAAUUUCCUGUGUAGCGGUGAAAUGCGUAGAUAUAGGAAGGAACACC
rnacentral:rRNA from 1 species